UUGGUCUCCUGUUCUUUGUCCUUAAUUUAGUAGCAUGAUUUAUUUUUAGAUAUGUUGUUGCGUACAGACUUAUAUACUUUUUUGCCUAUUGCUUUUACUCCAUGUAGGUUUCCCAAAGACUUUUGCCUGAGGAGGAAGCCACAUAGUGUCAUAGAGUCAUACCCACCCACUUACUUAAAAAUACAGACAACUGAACAUCUGACUGUAGAAUAGUUUGCAAACAAGGUUAUUCACAGUUUAAGCAGUUUUGGUUCAUUAUCAACAGAUAUGCAUCAAAAUAGGAGUUUUGUUGAAGAAAGGUUGUAAGAAAUUUGAAGGAAGAAAACCUCUUGACCUCUUUUUCCAUUUUGAUUUUGAAGGUGAUGUGAUGUGUGCCGUUCAAGCUUGGUCAGAGAUGCUGUACCAUCAUUUAACGAAAGCUACCACCUUCUAGCUCUGAAAAACAAUGGCGGCCUACUGAUUCCAUCACAAGGCACAGUGAAGAGUUGCAGAGAGGGUGAUUCGCCAGGCAUCAACAAAACAAGCUCCAAAGGUGUCAACAGUCUCACACAUCGUCCGGGAGGAGAUUGGAACGGAGGAUGUUUUUCUGCUUGGGGAGCACAUUGAAGAAACACAUCAUUCCAGCUUGUUGUCAUUGGUUGUGUUUGCCAAACUUACCCGUACCUUGACUUGCAGAAAGGGAGCACAAGAAAGAAGCUCUGCAAAACAGUCCUCUUUCAUCGGUUUUAGCUGUAAAACGUUUGUACAUGUGUAAAUGUGGUUUGGGUCAGGGAUGUCAUGUUCUUGUGUUAAUACAAUAACAUUAUCAUCAAACAACAAAGCCAUAAAAAUUUCAGACUUGUUUGUUAAAGUACUGUUUGAGUUCAUUUUCAAAGUAUUUUCCAUUGGGUUUUUCUUUGCCCAUUUCGUUUUGUGAAUAUGAAAUUUGCCCAGCAUGAUGAUAGUCUGCAACAAAAGGGAAAGGCUGUAGGGUAUGGAGGGAUUUUCCAACUGAAAGAGGAUGUGGCUCUCCUGGAGGCUGAUCCUGUGUCUGGUUUUGUUAUGGAUUAGGUUUUGUAUAUGAUUCCAGAGGUUUUUACUGUAUGAACAUUGAUAAAAAAGGUGGAUGAUGGUUUCUGGUUCUGUUUGGCAAAAGUCGCAGUUGUAGUCUAUAUUUAAUUUAAAACUCUCCGGGUUUUUUUGCCGGAUAUACAUUGUGACAGAUUUUGUAUGAUAUUUCUUUGACCUUAUUGUGAAUGAGCAGCUUCUCUCCAACCAGCCAUGCUCCUCUCCAGUUUAUUUCCCCGUACAGUGAACUCCAGUAAGAGUUGGCUGCCGGUCGAUUUGAAGGUUGAAUGAGAUUCCUGAUAAAUUUAUUUGAGCAGAUUUUGGUUGUUAUGUCUAUGUUAUGGAUGAAUAAUUUAGCACCAUUUUUCUAAGUAAGAGGGUGGAAUUGGGAACCUUUCAGGAGCUGCAGAAUUUCGAUUGGUAUUGCGUUGGAAAUUGUAGUGUAUUCUAUUUGU